AGCGAACGCUGGCGGCAGGCCUAACACAUGCAAGUCGAACGGAUCCUUCGGGAUUAGUGGCGGACGGGUGAGUAACACGUGGGGACGUGCCCUUUGGUUCGGAACAACUCAGGGAAACUUGAGCUAAUACCGGAUGUGCCCUUCGGGGGAAAGAUUUAUCGCCAUUGGAGCGGCCCGCGUCUGAUUAGCUAGUUGGUGAGGUAACGGCCCACCAAGGCGACGAUCAGUAGCUGGUCUGAGAGGAUGAUCAGCCACACUGGGACUGAGACACGGCCCAGACUCCUACGGGAGGCAGCAGUGGGGAAUCUUGCGCAAUGGGCGAAAGCCUGACGCAGCCAUGCCGCGUGAAUGAUGAAGGUCUUAGGAUUGUAAAAUUCUUUCAGCGGGAACGAUAAUGACGGUACCCGCAGAAGAAGCGCCGGCUAACUUCGUG
rnacentral:rRNA from 1 species